UCCCAAUCAGGAACUGUGUCAGGGAUCCUGCACCCCAAGCCUGGUGCCAGCUCAGCCCCCUUAAGCCCCAUGGAGCCCACCUUCCACAAGUGCCAGCAGCAGGGGAGGCUCCAAGGACAAUGGCACUUGGAAUCUGAUAAGUAAUCCUUGGCAACAGAUUCAAUAUCUAAUGGCAUGAGUUAGAAGGAAACAGAAAAAAGAAACAAUUUGAUCAACGAAGUGAAUUACUUGGCCUGAAAUAUUCUCAUCUUCUGUGAUUUUGAGCACAAACAGGCCAGAAACAUCUUGCUUAGCCUCCCUGGUAGCCAGGAAGGGUCAUGGGAUCCAUGUAUAAAAAUGCUACGUCAGAAGAACUAUCCUGGUAUCCUGAUAAUUAUAGAAGAACUUUUUUUGGUCUUUAAUUGACUAGAUGUACAAGAUGUGUGGCUAUAAAGGAGUAGAGAAAUCUGGCUUUUCUGUGGAUUUUUGGAUUUUAACAGGUGCUUGCGGGCUAUAUGCUAGAACCAGAGCAGUCACUACGUGAGCACAAGACAUGUUGAAGAACUGAGGAUUUAUGAUGGAAGGCAGAGUAGAAAGACAGAUAGUUAGGCUGAAUGACUCUCCCUUAUGUUAUUAAGAACAGUAAGUACAAGUUUUUUUCCCUCGCAGUGGGUAAAGAAAAAGUUUGUUAGGAAAUAUACCCUUGAG